GCUUAGCCCUGAUUGAGCGACAUGUUUGAGCUUUUUUCGGGUUUAGGCUCGGCGGCUUCGCCGCCGAGCCUAAACCCGAAAAAACGAGUAGUGAAAGCAGGAAUUAGC
rnacentral:misc_RNA from 1 species